CCCUUAGAUGUUCUGGGCCGCACGCGCGCUACACUGAUGCAUUCAACGGGUCUAAAACCUGGUCUGAUAGGGCUGGGUAAUCUUUUGAAAGUGCAUCGUGAUUGGGAUAGAUGAUUGCAAUUCUUCAUCUUCAACGAGGAAUGCCUAGUAAACGCAAGUCAUCAGCUUGCAUUGAUUACGUCCCUGCCCUUUGUACACACCGCCCGUCGCUCCUACCGAUUGAAUGAUCCGAUGAAUACCAUGGAUUGAGAGUACGAAUGGGUUCGCUCAUUUCUGCUGCUCGAGAAGUGGAGUAAAUCUUAUCAUUUAGAGGAAGGAGAAGUCGUAACA
rnacentral:rRNA from 1 species